rnacentral:rRNA from 1 species
AACGAACGCUGGCGGCAUGCCUAACACAUGCAAGUCGAACGAGAGCUUCGGGUCUAGUGGCGCACGGGUGCGUCGCGCGUGGGAACCUUCCCUUAGGUUCGGAAUACCUCUCCGACAGGGGUGCUAAUACCGGAUAAUUUCUUCGGACCCAAGAUUUAUCGCCCUUGGAUGGGCCCGCGUUGCAUUAGCUAGUUGGGAGGGUAAAAGCCUACCACGGCGACGAUCCAUAGCUGGGCAGAGAGAAUGAUUCGCCACUCUGGGAGGGGGAAGCGGCCCAGAAUCUUACGCAAUGGGGCAGAGCCGAAUAUUGGAAAACGGGCUGAGGGAUGAUGGAGUACGGACGGGUAAGUGCUGUAGGCCUUAGAGAUGUAAAGCUCUUUUAACCGGGAUGAUAAUGACAGUACCGGGAGAAUAAGCUCCGGCUAACUACGUG